rnacentral:lncRNA from 1 species
AGAGAGAGAGAGAGAGAGUCUGUGUGUGUGUGUGUGUGGAAGAGGAGUCAUGUAGAAUAAGGGAGUCAAGGAUCAGUAUUGGGUAAAUGCAGGCUGUCUCUUGGUAUUGCAUUCUUGAAUUAAUGGUAAUUUUGUUAAGUGGGAUUGAUGGUGAAGAGAUUCCUGAUUUAAAAAGGCUUUAUAUUCUGCCUUGAAUGAGGCUGGAUAGAAUUAAAUUCUUAUUUAACACACUCCAAACCUUGGAAUGAAGCAGAAUAGGUAACUUAUUCCCAUACUGCUAUCCCAUUACACGCAUCCCAACUGGGCCAAAGUUCUUUUUUUUGGUGAAUAUUUUUUUAUUGUAAAAUAAUAUAAACAGUAUAAGUUCAAAUAGAAAGUUAGUGGUUGGAAAAAUUAAAAGAAGUGAGUAUCAUCACUUCAUCAUCAUCCAAAUUGUGAUGUUAAAUGUUGGGUCAACCAUAGAAGAGCCUAAAUUGAGAAAGCUUCAUGGAAGGGUUUAAGAGUACAAGAAGUCGUUGUGGGUAGAGAAACCUGCUGUUUGCAAUCUAAGCUCAUGCAACCAAGACUCAUAUGUGUCAGAUACAAAGGCACACAGAGUAAAAAUAAUUAAAAAAACCUACAUUACAUGUUGGAUAGCUUUUAUUUAACUUAGGAAUGAAAUUGGUACCCUACCAAAAUAAAUUUGCACAAUAAAUGAUAACAUUUAGUUGCAUGGGUUUAGUAGUUUUCAAAAUAAAAAGGAAUGCUACAGGUACAUAGGUUAAUUUAUAGAUAGUAUCUAUUGUUAUAUAUGGCAUAUAUAGUUACAUAUAGCUGGAUAUAUCAAUUAGGAUUGCAUCAUAGGUUAAGAAGAGGGCUGAACUUCCAAGUCUCAUGAUUAAGCUAGAGUUACCAUUGUAGCAGGCAAUGGGAGAGAUGACUACUUGCUAUGUUUCCAUAUGUGUGAGACACAAACACACAGAGUAUCAACACUAGGAAAUGGUAAUACAGCUAUUUGAUCAUUGAGGGAGCAUGAAGGGGAGGCAUCAUGGAAGAAUCUAUCAGGAUAUUUAUUAGUUGUCUUUUAAGGAGUUUGACUGAAUAAGGAUCUGAGAGCAAUUUAUUUCUGGACUGGCUCAAGUGAGAGGGGGUAGGUAGAGACAGGCCAGUAGAUCUGCAAUAUGCUCAUUGCUCUUUGACCAUAAUCAUAAGCAUCAAAUGUUGUUUCAACUUCGGGGAUAUUUGUCAACCAAUCCUAUUAAGGGCUACCUCCAGCAUUAUUACGUGCUUUUCCUUUUUUCCCCCUUUCUCCCAACUUCCAUCCACAUUAACUUGGGCUUGCCUCUUCCUCAUAGAUUUACUGACACAUCUUUAAUCUCCUCUUUUUAACCAAGGCCACCUCAGUUCUACAUUGAACAUGUUUAUUGAAAUUUUAUGGAAUAAGUUUUCGUGUAACAAUUAUUAUUUUUCAUUGUCCAUCGCAAAAGUGACAGCCUGAAAUGCCCAAACUAUAUCAUGGGUGUGUGGGUGUUUUUUGUUUUUUGUUUUUUUUUUUNNNNNNNNNNNNNNNNNNNNACAUUAACUUGGGCUUGCCUCUUCCUCAUAGAUUUACUGACACAUCUUUAAUCUCCUCUUUUUAACCAAGGCCACCUCAGUUCUACAUUGAACAUGUUUAUUGAAAUUUUAUGGAAUAAGUUUUCGUGUAACAAUUAUUAUUUUUCAUUGUCCAUCGCAAAAGUGACAGCCUGAAAUGCCCAAACUAUAUCAUGGGUGUGUGGGUGUUUGUUUUUUGUUUUUUUUUGGGGGGGGGGGGGACAAUAUGUGGAGAUGAUUGGAUGUAUCAUAACUAUGUUGAUAACAUUUUCAGAUAUGCAAUCCUUGUUUGAUAUACUUAUUUUUAAGUAGCCUCUUUCUUCAUCUUAAAUUAUAUUUGCAAAUGGCGUAUCAAUUCUGCAAAUUUAUAAUUCCUGUAACAAUGAUGUGGUAUUGCCAGCUUUGUACCAUUCAUAAGUGCUUGCAUGACUUUGUAAGUUGUUGAUUUUUGUUGUUUGGAUUUUUUGCCCCCCUAACAUAUGAAUCUAUCUUGAGUUUGUCAGGUA